rnacentral:rRNA from 14 species
GAAAAGGACAAGGGGAAUCUGACUGUUUAAUUAAAACAAAGCAUUGUGAUGG